GACGAACCGUGCGAACGUUGUUCGGAAUCACUGGGCUUAAAGGGCGCGUAGGCGGUCAGAAAAGUCCGGGGUGAAAUCUUUCGGCCCAACCGGAAAAGGGCCCCGGAUACUGCCUGACUGGAGGGGGAUAGGGGCGGACGGAACUUCCGGUGGAGCGGUGAAAUGCGUUGAUAUCGGAAGGAACGCCGGUGGCGAAAGCGGCUCACUAGACCACAACUGACGCUGAGGCGCGAAAGCUAGGGGAGCAAACAGG
rnacentral:rRNA from 1 species